rnacentral:rRNA from 1 species
GGGGAAUAUUGGACAAUGGGGGGAACCCUGAUCCGCCCAUCCCGCGGGGGUGAAGAAGGCCUUAGGGUUUUAAAGCACUUUACCCGGGGAGGAGGCUCUUUUGUUUAAUACCCAAAAGGAUUGGCCGUUACUGUCAGAAUAAGCCCCGCCUACCUCUGGGCCAGCAGCCGCGGUAAUACAGAGGGUGCGAGCGUUAAUCGGAUUUACUGGGCGUAAAGCGUGCGUAGGCGGCUUUUUAAGUCGGAUGUGAAAUCCCCGAGCUUAACUUGGGAAUUGCAUUCGAUACUGGGAAGCUAGAGUAUGGGAGAGGAUGGUAGAAUUCCAGGUGUAGCGGUGAAAUGCGUAGAGAUCUGGAGGAAUACCGAUGGCGAAGGCAGCCAUCUGGCCUAAUACUGACGCUGAGGUACGAAAGCAUGGGGAGCAAACA